GCGAAUUGUCUGCAGGAGGCAGGGGUAAGACGAAGUGUGGAUGCGUUAAUCGGAAGUACGGGGCGUAAAGCGCGCGUAGGCGGCUAGUUAAGGCGGAUGUGAAAUCCCCGGGAUCAACCUGGGAAUUGCAUCGGAUACUGGGUAGCUAGAAUGCGGGAGAGGGGGGUGGAAUUCCAGGUGUAGCGGUGAAAGGCGUAGAUACCAUAAAGAACACCGAUAGCGAAGGCAGCUUACUAGACCGUAACUGACGCUCAUGCACGAAAGCGUGGGGAGCGAACAGGAUUAGAUACCCGGGUAGUC
rnacentral:rRNA from 1 species